UUGAAAGGGAAACGAUUGAAGUCAGUCAUACCAACGGGAAAUCAACCUUUUGAGCUUGGUUUCGUGGGUUUUGAAGAGCUUCAAAGCCUUCGGAUUCGCGGGAUUGGGAUCUCUUGGUGUACUUUUUCGUACGGUUAGUCAACAUCGGUUUUGAAUGACAUAAAAUGACUGGAGGAAUGUAGCUUCGAUCUCGUAUUGAAGUGUUAUAGCCUUUGGUAGAUGUGAUGAUUGGGACUGAGGAUUGCAACGAAUACCCUUUGGGCUAUCCGUCUGGCCUCUGAUACGUUGCCUUGAUGUUGAAAGCUUGCUUAUGAUGUUAGGGUAUUACGGUCAAAAGGUUAGAACGAAUUACAUUCGUUAAGGAUGUUGACGUA
rnacentral:rRNA from 1 species